UACAGAGGUGGCAAGCGUUGUUCGGAAUUACUGGGCGUAAAGGGCGCGUAGGCGGCCUUCUAAGUCAGACGUGAAAUCCCCCGGCUUAACCUGGGAACUGCGUCCGAUACUGGCAGGCUUGAAUCCGGGAGAGGGAUGUGGAAUUCCAGGUGUAGCGGUGAAAUGCGUAGAUAUCUGGAGGAACACCGGUGGCGAAGGCGGCAUCCUGGACCGGUAUUGACGCUGAGGCGCGAAAGCCAGGGGAGCAAACGGG
rnacentral:rRNA from 1 species